rnacentral:rRNA from 1 species
GACGUAGGGCGCGAGCGUUGUCCGGAUUUAUUGGGCGUAAAGGGUGCGCAGGCGGCCAAGUGUGUCAGGUGUGAAAGCUCGAGGCUUAACCUCGAAACUGCGCCUGAAACUAUUUGGCUAGAGUACUGGAGAGGGAAGUGGAAUUCACGGUGUAGCAGUGAAAUGCGUAGAUAUCGUGAGGAACACCAAUGGCGAAGGCAACUUCCUGGACAGUUACUGACGCUCAGGCACGAAAGCGUGGGGAGCAAAAGGG